GGACCAGGGGCAACCAUAAAUUUAGAAAAACUAGAGUGAAGAGGGAUGUAUACUACCACUCAUUCUUCCCAAGAACAACUAGAGAAUGGAAUAAACUCCCCGAAUCUGUAGUGGAGUCUGGAUCUCUAGAGGACUUCAGGGCCAGAGUGAAUACCAUCCCCUGGACCCAGCCACAUCUGAAAUAGACAGCAGGAUAACCAGUGUACAUAGAUGUAAUUAAUAUCAUAUUUUAUUGUAAACACCGUCCAGUUUAUUUCCUGGACUUUUACUUUUGGCCAGAAGAGUGGCCUCCUGUCUGUUUGAGAUGCGCCCGAGUCAAUUACACUUUACUACAGAGUUCGACUCGUAGUGGGAAGAAGAAGAAGAAGAAGAAGAUGAAUGAUAAAAAAAAAACUUUGGAGAC
rnacentral:lncRNA from 1 species